rnacentral:lncRNA from 1 species
GGGUUGCAUCACAUUUACUGUUUCCAAGUUAUGUCUCUUUAUAAAUGGAAAAAUUGCUAAACUUUAGUUUGAUUCGACCAAAUGUUAUAAAACUUAUACACAAUAGUUAUUGCUUAUUUAAGAAUUUAAUUUCUAGAUUAAUCUAUAGAUGUCACUUCUAGUAGUAUUUUGUUGUCUGGUUGCUGUAUCUUUGAUGUAUUCU